rnacentral:rRNA from 2 species
GGCGGACGGGUGAGUAAUAUAUAGAUAACGUGCCUCUUAGUCUGGGAUAGCCAUUGGAAACGAUGAUUAAUACUAGAUACUCCUUCUUAUCACAUGAUAAGUCGGGAAAGUUUUUUCGCUAAGAGAUCGGUCUAUAUCGCAUCAGUUAGUUGGUGGGGUAACGGCCUACCAAGACAAUGACGCGUAGCGGGUUCGAGAGGAUGAUCCGCCACACUGGUACUGAGACACGGACCAGACUCCUACGGGAGGCAGCAGUGAGGAAUAUUGCACAAUGGGGGAAACCCUGAUGCAGCAACGCCGCGUGGAGGAUGACGCAUUUCGGUGUGUAAACUCCUUUUAUGAGUCAAGAAAAUGACGGUAGCUCAUGAAUAAGCACCGGCUAACUCCGUGCCAGCAGCCGCGGUAAUACGGAGGGUGCAAGCGUUACUCGGAAUCACUGGGCGUAAAGGACGCGUAGGCGGGUUAUCAAGUCAGGUGUGAAAUCCUAUGGCUCAACCAUAGAACUGCACUUGAAACUGGUAACCUAGAGUAUGGGAGGGGCAGAUGGAAUUAGUAGUGUAGGGGUAAAAUCCGUAGAUAUUACUAGGAAUACCGAAAGCGAAGGCGAUCUGCUGGAACAUUACUGACGCUAAGGCGUGAAAGCGUGGGGAGCAAACGGGAUUAGAUACCCCGGUAGUCCACGCCCUAAAC